UAGGGAAUCUUCGGCAAUGGACGAAAGUCUGACCGAGCAACGCCGCGUGAGUGAAGAAGGUUUUCGGAUCGUAAAACUCUGUUGUUAGAGAAGAACAAGGACGUUAGUAACUGAACGUCCCCUGACGGUAUCUAACCAGAAAGCCACGGCUAACUACGUGCCAGCAGCCGCGGUAAUACGUAGGUGGCAAGCGUUGUCCGGAUUUAUUGGGCGUAAAGCGAGCGCAGGCGGUUUCUUAAGUCUGAUGUGAAAGCCCCCGGCUCAACCGGGGAGGGUCAUUGGAAACUGGGAGACUUGAGUGCAGAAGAGGAGAGUGGAAUUCCAUGUGUAGCGGUGAAAUGCGUAGAUAUAUGGAGGAACACCAGUGGCGAAGGCGGCUCACUGGUCUGUAACUGACGCUGAGGCUCGAAAGCGUGGGGAGCAAACAGG
rnacentral:rRNA from 1 species